CUGCCCAAUGAGAGGUUGAAUGGCUGCGGUAUUCUAACCGUGCUAAGGUAGCAUAAUCAUUUGUCUUUUAAUUGAGGGCUUGUAUGAAAGGUCGGAUGAAGUAAUAACUUUCUUUAAUUUAAUUUAUGAAUUUAAUUUUUAGGUUAAAAAGCUAAAAUGUUUUUAUAGGACGAGAAGACCCUAUAGAUCUUUACAGUUUGUUAGGUAUAAUGAUUUGGUGAAUUAUUUAUUAUUACUCAAUGAUUUUGUUUGAUUGGGGUGAUUGUGGAAUUCUUUUAACUUCCAUUAUUUUUUUU
rnacentral:rRNA from 1 species